GUCUACGGCCAUACCACCCUGAACGCACCCAAUCUCGUCUGAUCUUGGAAGCUAAGCAGGGUUGGGCUUGGUUAAGACUUGGAUGGGAGACCACCUGGGAAUACCAGGUGCCGUAGGCU
rnacentral:rRNA from 1 species